CAGUAGCCGCGGUAAUACGAAGGGGGCUAGCGUUGUUCGGAUUUACUGGGCGUAAAGGGUGCGUAGGCGGAUUGUUAAGUCAGGGGUGAAAUCCCGAGGCUCAACCUCGGAACUGCCUUUGAUACUGGCGAUCUUGAGUCCGGGAGAGGUGAGUGGAACUGCGAGUGUAGAGGUGAAAUUCGUAGAUAUUCGCAAGAACACCGGUGGCGAAGGCGGCUCACUGGCCCGGUACUGACGCUGAGGCACGAAAGCGUGGGGAGCAAACAGGAUUAGAUACCCCUGUAGUCCCUGUCUCUUAUAC
rnacentral:rRNA from 1 species